GUAGGGUGCGAGCGUUGUCCGGAAUUACUGGGCGUAAAGGGCUCGUAGGUGGUUUGUCGCGUCGUCUGUGAAAUUCCGGGGGGCUUAACUCCGGGGCGUGCAGGCGAUACGGGCAUAACUUGAGUACUGUAGGGGUAACUGGAAUUCCUGGUGUAGCGGUGAAAUGCGCAGAUAUCAGGAGGAACACCGAUGGCGAAGGCAGGUUACUGGGCAGUUACUGACGCUGAGGAGCGAAAGCAUGGGUAGCGAACAGGAUUAGAUACCCUGGUAGUCCAUGCCGUAAACGGUGGGCGCUAGGUGUGAGGGUCUUUUCACGACUUUCGUGCCGUAGCUAACGCAUUAAGCGCCCCGCCUGGGGAGUACGGCCGCAAAGGCUAA
rnacentral:rRNA from 1 species